CCCAACAUUCAAGAGCAUACUUGGAACUAGUUGCCCUUGCUAUAAAUAUGCAGAGAAUUUGGACAAUCAAGUCUUGAUCACUCUUGAAGCUUAUUGUGAUGUUGAUAGCCCUUGCAAGGGUUUGCAAGUGAUUAAGCUCUCCAAGGAGGAGGAGUAAAAAUAAAGAGACUUGAUAUUUAAUUCCAGAUCUUAUAUUAGAUGAUUUGCUGUUAAUCUUUCUGUUGAAAAGUCUUUAAACUAUGGUUUAGUCUACCAUGUUUUUAAGACAUUGUAAUUUCUAGGGGUAAACUUGUAGUGUUGUGUUUCGAGCAAUAACUUGGCAUAUCUGUCAAAUUCUUAGUACUAAUAACUGUUAUUGUACUCAUUUUGUAGCCCGAUAUUCUCUACUUUUCUGCA